AGUCGUUGGGUCUGUAUCCUUUUUGGUCAGUUUUGUUUUAAUCUCAUAAUCUUUGUUUCUUUCAUCGCUAAAUUUUGAACUUAAAACAUGCAGACUCUAAGGGACACCAUCCAUCAAGAGUAUCAUGAUGUUGUCGAGAGGCGAGUUUUUACAGUGACGGGAGCAAGAGCUGAUGAAGAGACAAUUGAAAGAUUAAUCGAGACAGAAGGCAGUGAACAAAAUUUUCCAGAAGGCAAUCCAAGAACAAGGGGGAGGCCAGAUAAUGAACACUCUGGCCGAAAUUCAAGAGCGACAUGAUGCUAUUAGAGAUCUUGAGAGGAAGCUUCUCGAUUUACAACAGGUUGUUUUUUUAUUUCUAUAGGGGAGUUGCAGGUGUCCAUGUCAGAUUCAUAAGGAAAAAGAACCAUUUUUGUGGAUAUAUUUAAACAUUCUGCUUGAAUCAGGACUUAUCGAAUCAAGGCAGCUACAAGGAAAUUUGAACUUUGGCAUGUACAGAUACGAUUUUGCAACAAAGCUAGGUACCUUCUAGACUUAUUGGAUGUGGAGAUUUGUAUGAUCGAAUUUGUGAUUAAUAUACUUGGAUUUUAUUAAAUUUUUCAUGAUUUUAUAGAGUUUUUCAUUUAAAUUUGUGGGUUUUUGUUUAAAUUGUGGGUUUUGGAGAUUGAAUAUGUAAAGGCUGCUUGAGAAACUAACAGUAUACAAAAUUUCAAUGACUCUGUUUGUUCAAUUGACUGCAACUCAUGCCACAGUUUGCUUCACAAACCUCUACGGUUAGCUUCCAUACAGUAUGUUACAAGUUUGAGGAUAUCUGUACAUCUUAAUUUCUGCUCUCUGGUUGCUUCAAGUUUGUAAUUUUACGUGCUACACUGCCACUUGAUUUGAUUAUAAAAAUGUAAAACAAAAUCCGUCAAUGAGUCGAUUUUUGAUGUUUUUCCAGUGUAGGGCAUAUGUUGCACAAGCAUGUAAAUGGUAGCAAUUAUUUGGUUUUGGACAGUAAGCUUUGAGUUUUACAAGAAAAAUCAAGAAAAUGUGUCGCUCAUCUAUCCCUCUGUUCAUUCAGGAUUAUAUUUAAUUUAUUCAGGUUAAAUGUGUCUUAUUCAUGCAGUUAAGGCUGGUGCAUUUAAGGUCCCGCAGCAAAGUGCGGGCAUAUUUUCUAGUCUAUAUACUAAAACUGGGUUCGGCUGGCACUGUUUUUCACUGUUUGUGAACAGUGAAAUGGCGGAAAUGCCCUUUGUUUCUUCUAAUCCCACGUUUUGUUGUUUGCUUGGUACAGAAAAAUUUCGAUUUUACCCUUUUUUGCCACGGGUCGAUCAUCGUUGAAGGCUCCACUCAGACUUUCUUCUCGACUUUUCCUUCCGUUUCCAUUUCUCUCUAUGCGGUCUUCUCUUUUCUCCUCUCCUCAUCUCUCUAUUCCGUUUACCUUUUUACUGCCAUCAACCCUCCCUUCCUUUUUCUCUCACUACAGCCACCGCAAAACCCCUCAAGCCCUCAUACCCUCAAACCAACAAAUUUAAUUCCACAAUCUCUCACACUUAAUCUAAACCCUCGAACCAAAAACUCGAUUUCAAGUAUCAAGCAGCCAGGUUUUUGGGUGUUGGAAUUUCGGCGAACUGUUUCUUGCCAUUAUUACCAAUCUUCAUGGCUUUGUCUCUCAGGUUCGAUGCUCAAAUUUAAGGUUUUUUGUUGGAGAAGUGGUGGACCUUUUAAUUGUGCCUGUUGUGUUAGUGGUCGUUGCUGGACCGGCAAGAAAAAGUCUACUGUGCAUAACACCAUGCCUGCAUUUUUGCAGCAAAGACCAAAUCAAGUAGAACUAUUUGGGUAUUUAUCCUAAACCUAAUUAUUCUAAUUUAAAUGGAGUCUACUCUAACAGAUACGAAUUUGUAUUAUGUUAUCAAAUUUUAUUUUUCUAAUUUUUGAUUUUGGGGUUUUGCAGGAAGUGCUAAAAU